GACGAACGCUGGCGGCGUGCCUAACACAUGCAAGUCGAACGGGGUUGCGAGAGCUUGCUUUUGCAACUUAGUGGCGAACGGGUGAGUAACGCGUGAGGAACCUGCCUUUCAGUGGGGGACAACAGUUGGAAACGACUGCUAAUCCCGCAUAACCUAAUCGAACCGCAUGAUUUGCUUAUCCAAGCUUUAUGUGCUGAAAGAUGGCCUCGCGUCUGAUUAGCUAGUUGGUGGGGUAACGGCCCACCAAGGCGACGAUCAGUAGCCGGUCUGAGAGGAUGAACGGCCACAUUGGGACUGAGAUACGGCCCAGACUCCUACGGGAGGCAGCAGUGGGGAAUAUUGGGCAAUGGGCGAAAGCCUGACCCAGCAACGCCGCGUGAAGGAAGAAGGCCCUCGGGUUGUAAACUUCUUUUACCAGGGACGAAGGACGUGACGGUACCUGGAGAAAAAGCAACGGCUAACUACGUGCCAGCAGCCGCCGCAGUAA
rnacentral:rRNA from 1 species